rnacentral:rRNA from 1 species
UACGUAGGGGGCUAGCGUUGUCCGGAAUCAUUGGGCGUAAAGCGCGUGUAGGCGGCCCGGUAAGUCCGCUGUGAAAGUCGGGGGCUUAACCCUCGGAUGCCGGUGGAUACUGUCGGGCUUGAGUACGGAAGAGGCGAGUGGAAUUCCUGGUGUAGCGGUGAAAUGCGCAGAUAUCAGGAGGAACCCCUAUUGCGAAGGCAGCUCGCUGGGACGUGACUGACGCUGAGGUGCGAAAGCGUGGGGAGCAAACAGG